UAUGAGUCGUUUUUCGACAUUUUAGACCACGAUUAUAUAAUCCGGUAUCGUGAUUUAUUGUAAAGUCCCUGAAGCCUUGUCUUUCUUUAUUUCUUUUUAGAAAUAAAGAGAAAUUUUCUAGUUACUACAGCUUGUUUUUUGUAGUUGAUCCAAUUUAUUACGAAGAGUGUGUGUCUAUUUUUUAAAGGAUGCUUUUCUCUUCCUGACCUCUCUGCUGCAAUUAGAGUCCCACUAUUUGAUAGAAUUCCUGGUCUUUGUGGAAUUUUUUUCUGGAGUUAUUUCCUGCAAUAGUUGUAGUCAUGAGAUAAUGGUAGCCAUAAGAUAUUCAUAUUUAUCUAUAAGUGACAACUCAUCAUAUUCUUUGCCCAUUAAUAGGUGAUAGUGUGACUCCAUUUCUAAUCUAUAUUUUGUUCAGUCGGUACUGAUGGAGGAAAUUCUGUGUGAUUUUAUGAUAUGUACAUGUUUUUGCAUAUUUGCAAGACAUGCUCUGGAGGAAUGAUUUGAGCCCAUACUGUCAUCUAAUUGGUUAGGGUAAAUAGAAAAUACUGGCUUGGGUAAAUAGAGCUAGAGUGUAUCACUACAAUCUGGCAGCCUCCUUGACAAAGAUUAGCAUAUUACAAGACCCAACAUGUGACUAUAGCACUCACAUCGAAGAAAUAAUUUGUAUCUUGUUGGCCUGCUUCUUACACAGGUAUGAAAGAUAAAAAUUUAUACAAAAUCACAGAAAGAACGGAUGGACUCUGCUCUACAGAAUCCACAUAUUUCUUAAAGGACCCAAGAUACAGAGCAUCAAAGAUAUAGAUAAAUUUGUAGAAGCUUCAUAUAUCACCAUGUAACGAGAAUAAUUAUGUUAAAAUUCAGAGACAACAAAGAGUACUAAGCUUUAAACUGAAAUCUUACCAUUGUACAGAUAUUUUCUAAUACAUAAGUCUGAAGCUAGAUGUACAUUAAAAAGACUAAAAAGAGAAUGCUAGAUUAAAGAUUAGGAUUAAGUACUAAAUUAAGAUUAAAUAUUACAGAUUGUGCAAUUAUUCGAAUUUUUAGUUCUAAGUUCACUAUUUUUACUUGAUAUUGUUAUUAUAUUAUUGAUAUAGUGUUAAUGUGGCUUAUAGACCCAUAAAAGUCUAAAGCUUGUAUUCAUUAAAAAAGAUAUUUUGAUAUUCUCA